rnacentral:rRNA from 1 species
AGAACGAACGCUGGCGGCAGGCUUAACACAUGCAAGUCGAACGCGUGUAGCAAUACACGAGUGGCGCACGGGUGAGUAACGCGUGGAUAUCUGCCUUUUGGUUCGGAAUAACCCCGGGAAACUGGGGCUAAAUACCGGAUGGUUCCUACGGGAUAAAGAUUUAUCGCCAAAAGAUGAGUCCGCGUACGAUUAGCUAGUUGGUGAGGUAAUGGCUCACCAAGGCGACGAUCGUUAGCUGGUCUGAGAGGACGAUCAGCCACACUGGGACUGAGACACGGCCCAGACUCCUACGGGAGGCAGCAGUGGGGAAUAUUGGACAAUGGGGGCAACCCUGAUCCAGCCAUGCCGCGUGAGUGAUGAAGGCCUUCGGGUUGUAAAGCUCUUUUGGCGGGGACGAUGAUGACGGUACCGCAGAAUAAGCCCCGGCUAACUUCGUGCCAGCAGCCGC